ensembl:processed_transcript Six3os1 SIX homeobox 3, opposite strand 1
AGCUCUGAGCGCGACCCUACCCGGCUCGGGCCCGCAGCAGCCCCGACUGUCCGAGAGCCUCUCCGCAAGCAAGGCUCUGCGCCGCCCUCUGAGCCCACCUCCUGGCCACAACGCUGCCUGCGCUUCUCCAGCCCAGGCCGGAAGCCCUAUGCUGCCUCCCGAAGCCGUUGGAACUCAAGGUCCCCUUUCACUCCCUUCUUGAGUACCCCUAGCACUUGCUGGGUUGGUGGAGCAGGGAACUCUCGGUUCUCCACUCAGGACUUUCUGGAAGCCCAUCUUCGUAUGCUCACCAGCCCACCCUCCUACGCUGGUCAGAGUGAGAUUGCUAACCUCAAGACCCCAUUCAAUGCCAGCUUUCAACUACUGCUGAAGACCAAUGUAGGUCCUGGAAUAGAAGAACUGCAGAGUAUGCAGACAAAAGCUACCAUGUCCGCUUGGAGUGACACCCAGACACGCACAGAGAUGUACAGGAAGCCAAGGAGAGUGGGAUCCACCAGAGUACAGUACAAGUACAGAGUACAGUGCAAGAUGCCCAGU